UACAGAGGUCUCAAGCGUUGUUCGGAUUCAUUGGGCGUAAAGGGUGCGUAGGCGGCGCGGUAAGUCGGGUGUGAAAUCUCGGGGCUUAACUCCGAAACUGCAUUCGAUACUGCCGUGCUUGAGGACUGGAGAGGAGACUGGAAUUUACGGUGUAGCGGUGAAAUGCGUAGAUAUCUGGAGGAACACCGGUGGCGAAGGCGGCAUCCUGGACCGGCAUUGACGCUGAGGCGCGAAAGCCAGGGGAGCGAACGGG
rnacentral:rRNA from 1 species